GAGCUGGCUCAUUGCUGACCCCCAUGUUCAGUGUUUCCAAGUACAGGAAGAGAGAGAGACAAAAAUCUGUGGGAUAUUUAAAGCUUCAGUUUUUCUUCACAUAUUAGCACUCCUUUCACAGACUAAAUGUUGAAGAUGAUUUGUGGACUACGGUCUUUCAGAGAAAAACAUUCCUUGCGGAAACCAACACACCUGCAAAAAUCAUGCUGAACCACACUCUCACAGAGGAUACAAAGACUGAAAGUGAGGUAAAGUCAAUCAAUGAAGUCAGAGGAAUUCCUGUGAAGCAAAGAAUAAAAACUCUUGAGCACUCUAGGCAUACAUUACCUCUGCCUUCAGUUUAUAAAGGUGGCAGAGUGACUGCAUCUUUGUUUCACAAUGACUGUUGUGAGCAACUGAUCUGAAAUUAGACUCCACCGUCCAUUGUCUCAAAGACUGGUAUGAGAAGCUGAGAUGGGAUGCCACCAUCCAUUGUCUGAGAGAUGGGUGGGAGGAGUUGAGAUAAGACCUCACUGCCUUAGAGAAGAGUGUGGGAAACUGAAAUGGAACUCCAGGGUCCAUUGCCUGAGAGAUGCAUGGAAAGAGCUGAGAUAAGACUCUUCUGUCCAUUAUCUCAAGGAUUGGUGUGAAGAAUUGCUGCCCAUUAUCCCAAGAAUUGCUGCAGACGUGCAGUUGAAAAGCUGGCUGCAAGGCCAGCGAAACUGGUCCACCACGAACGUGCAGUAUGUGACAUGAAGAACAGAAGUACUCCUCCCAACUCAUUAUAAAAGGGGGAAAAGUAAUCGCCAUGAAGGACACCUCCACAAGGACACCUCCACGAGGACACCCUGUUCGAGGACACCCUCUUCGAGGACACCCACCUCCAACGAUGACUACUACAGACUCCUGGGGACAGUCUGCUCCAGUACUGACUACGGGCCCUGAAGGACUCCCACCGCCUCUGGUGACGACUAUAGACCCCUGGGACACAGCUGGAUCCACGGUGGUGGCAGUCUCUCUCUCUCUGCACUCCGAAUUCUUGCUUCAUUUCUAUCUUUUUUCUGAUCUGUCCUAUCGCUGUCUCUUUCUUUUACAAUAAUUUCCUUUUUUAUAAUAAUUGUCUUUUUGU